rnacentral:rRNA from 1 species
AACGAACGCUGGCGGCAUGCCUAACACAUGCAAGUCGAACGAGACCUUCGGGUCUAGUUGCGCACGGGUGCGUAACGCGUGGGAACCUGCCCUUAGGUUCGGAAUAACUCCCCGAAAGGGGUGCUAAUACCGGAUAAUGUCUUCCGACCAAAGAUUUAUCGCCUUUGGAUGGGCCCGCGUUGGAUUAGCUAGUUGGUAGGGUAAAAGCCUACCAAGGCGACGAUCCAUAGCUGGUCUGAGAGGAUGAUCAGCCACAAUGGGACUGAGACACGGCCCAGAAUCCUACGGGAGGGAGCAGUGGGGAAUAUUGGACAAUGGGCGAAAGCCUGAUCCAGCAAUGCCGCGUGAGUGAUGAAGGCCUUAGGGUUGUAAAGCUCUUUUACCCGGGAUGAUAAUGACAGUACCGGGAGAAUAAGCUCCGGCUAACUCCGUG